rnacentral:rRNA from 1 species
AGCAGCAGCCAUAUCAUCCUGGAACUCACAACUGGCAACCCACUGAAGCUAAGCAGGUGUGAGCCUGGUCAGUACCUGGAUGGGAGAACUCCUGGGAAAAACUAAGGUUGGUGCUGNNN